CUACCUAAAAGUAGUUCUGGAGAACAAAGACUUUUGAUGCCCUCUCUCUCUCCAAGGGGGAAAGUUUAGAGACACAUAUUUUAAAACACAUCUAUAAAAAUUAAAAAAAGAUUUUAUUGAAAUGUUACUCAUAGUGUGUUGUUGAUACUUCAUUCUCUAUUUGACUCAUACCCACCAAAGUUCUAUAUCGUAGUCUAAGGGGGGUCUGGUUGAACGCUGUGGAAGCUUGGAGCUGGAGUCAUACCAACAUUCUACUGGUCGAGGAUAUCCUGUAAGGACUCAAGUAUCUCAAUGUUUGGAGGAGGUGGAAUUGGAUGGAAGUGUCUGACGUGAAACAGUGAUCAGUUGUCUUCACACAACGUCUACUAGGAGUUCCUUACUACUGAAUUAUCUGAAGAAGAAAAACAUUCUGGGUGAUUUUGGAACAUUGCAACUGCAAAGCUUCACAGGACUUUAGUUGUACUCAAGUGGAUGAGGCAGUUCUACUGAUUUAGUUGUACUCAAGUGGAUGAGGCAGUUCUACUGAUUUAGUUGUACUCAAGUGGAUGAGGCAGUUCUACUGAUUUAGUUGUACUCAAGUGGAUGAGGCAGUUCUACUGAUUUAGUUGUACUCAAGUGGAUGAGGCAGUUCUACUGAUUUAGUUGUACUCAAGUGGAUGAGGCAGUUCUACUGAUUUAGUUGUACUCAAGUGGAUGAGGCAGUUCUUCUGAUUGCCGUAUAUCUUUUUGUGGAGUAUGGUUUUGGAUUAUGCUCUUUUGGAUUUAAAUUUUUGGGGACGUGAAUAAUGUAUAAAUCAACAAUCGAAAUGCUGAAAUGUAACGUGUUUUUUUUAGCACUUUGUGUGGCAUCAGGGAUUCUCUUGUGUGUAUCUGCCGUCGCCGAGGACCAGACAUGCAGCAUAAACGUAACCGAGGCCGACAGCAGUCUGGAAUCUAUAACGUUGAGACUGACCACGGAGGGACAGCAGUGUAACUUCACUGUGUUGUCUAUGGACAGUAGCUCUGUAGUAACACACUGUGUGGAGGAUCUGAAGGACAACAAUACGUUUCAAUGCCAGGUAGUGAGUUUAGAACCUGGAACAUCAUACACCCUGCAAAUCAUGUCCACCACAGAUGAACAACGGGCCAAUGUCACCCUGCAGACCAGUCCAUCGACAGUCAGUGGCCUACAGGUGUCUGGG